AACCCUGACCGAGCAACGCCGCGUGAAUGAUGAAGGUCUUCGGAUUGUAAAAUUCUGUGGUAAGAGAAGAAAGAUAUAAAGAGGAAAUGCUUUGUAUUUGACGGUAUCUUGCUAGAAAGCCACGGCUAACUACGUGCCAGCAGCCGCGGUAAUACGUAGGUGGCAAGCGUUAUCCGGAAUUACUGGGCGUAAAGAGUGAGCAGGCGGUUAGAUAAGUCUAUGGUUAAAUGCAACAGCUCAACUGUUGUUCGCUAUAGAAACUAUUUAACUAGAGUGCGGGAGAGGUAAGUGGAACUCCAUAUGUAGCGGUGGAAUGCUUAGAUAUAUGGAAGAACACCAGAGGCGAAGGCGGCUUACCAGUCCGUAACUGACGCUCAGUCACGAAAGCGUGGGGAGCAAAUAGGAUUAGAUAUCCUAGUAGUCCACGCCGUAAACGAUGAGAACCUGAUGCAGGAGAUAUUCUGUGUCGAAGCUAACGCGUUAAGUUCUCCGCCUGGGUACUACGUUCGCAAGAAUAAAACUUAAAGGAAUUGACGGGCGCCCGCACAAGCAGUGGAGCAUGGGGUUUAAUUCGUCGAUACACGAAAAACCUUACCAGGGCUUGACAUCCCGCUAAAAGCCUUAGAAAUAAGGAAAUAGUUAUAGCGGUGACAGGUGGUGCAUGGUUGUCGUCAGCUCGUGCCGUGAGGUGUUAGGUUAAGUCCUCAAACGAGCGCAACCCUUGUCUUUAGUUGCCAUUAUUAAUUUAGGAACUCUAGAGAGACUGCCGGCGCAA
rnacentral:rRNA from 1 species